rnacentral:lncRNA from 1 species
AAACUGGUUUCAUAGGAACGGCAUAGGAUACACGUAGGAUUUCAGGUGAGGCAGAAGAUGCAGAGCAGCGCUAAACUCUUCCAGACAGCGAAAACCAACCUAUAAGAAGCAGGCAGUCUUCUCUGUGCAGUUACAGCUCUACCGGCCCUAGGUCCCAGCAGACAGGCAAGAGCCUGCCCUGCUGGGUACAAGCCAGGUCGAUCUAUCAGAAACCCUUAUCCUGUCUCCAGUGAACACUGAGCUUUCACAGAACAAUUGUUGGAAUGUAAGGAGAAAGAGUUUUCUCUCUGAGACAAGGAAGAUUUGGAAAUACACUUCCUUGAUUGUCCAGUGUCCUUGGGAGCUGGAUCUACCCAGGAGUGGUAGUUGCUUACAAGAAAUGAACUAUGAAAAAAAGUUUACUGUGCUUUCACAGUCUGGAGCUCAAGAAAAAUAUAGUGACAAGGUGUGUUAGACUGCCUCUCAUCCACAGGAGAAAAGACAGACCAACCUGGAUUUCCACUUUAUAUCUACCACUGAUGAGCUGUGUGACCUCGGGCAAGUGAACUAAC